CUUGCUCUAGGAAGUUCCCUUAAAAAGCAAAGAACACACGCGCAACUUCCUUUCCUUCCCAAGCGUGGAAUGAGUUAGUUUCACGUGCUGCACGUUGCACCAGUGUAAUUAAGUUUAGCCAGAUGAAGAUGAUUGCUUCUGCCAAUGGAGAGGACCAUUGUAAAGAUCAGAGGAUUGUCAUUGGAAAAGGAUGACCUGACAGUUGCAGCUUAGUGAAGAUUGAUCAGAGGAUUGCCCCCUAGAAAAGGAUGAUCUGAGUUGCAGCUUAAUGAAUAUUGAUCAGAGGAUUGCCCCCUAGAAAAGGAUGAUCUGAGAGUUGCAGCUUAAUGAAUAUUGAUCAGAGGAUUGCCCCCUAGAAAAGGAUGAUCUGAGAGUUGUAGCUUAAUGAAUAUUGAUUGCCACUGGAAAGGGGUGAUGUGAGAAUUGCUGCUCAAUUAUAACUGGUGUGCAUAUAAUUCAAGAUCUGCUUGCGGAGUUCUUCCAAAGUAAGGUCUCGUCGGUGCAGGGAGUCCAGGUCAUGGAGAGCAUAGGGAAACACCGCAUUGGGUGGAAAAACAAGCGCAGAGGCCCCUGCAUUCCAAUGACAAAUUUGCUUACAUUUCUAAACCCUCAGUAUCGUGCACUGUAACAGGAGCUUGAUCUUAACUCUAAAUCAGUAAUGAGGUGCUGAAAGGUGAACAUGACUUUAGUUUUGUUCAAAUCUUCAAUUGAAAUAAAUUCUCAUUGCAAAAAUG